GUCCCAGUUCGGAUUGUAGUCUGCAACCCGACUACAUGAAGCUGGAAUCGCUAGUAAUCGCGGAUCAGAAUGCCGCGGUGAAUACGUUCCCGGGUCUUGUACACACCGCCCGUCACACCAUGGGAGUUGGAAAUGCCCGAAGUCAGUGACCGAACCGAAAGGAAGGAGCUGCCGAAGGUGGAGCCGAUGACUGGGGUGAAGUCGUAACAAGGUACC
rnacentral:rRNA from 1 species